GGACCAGCUUGCUUAGGGGACCCGUCUCCAGGUUUAUUUCUCUGUAGGUGAUGGCUUUGUUAUGGAAGAUUUGUGAAUUCGGCCUAAUUCUGCUCUGCAUGCAUUUUAUGGUGUUUUACGUUAAACACGGAGGAUAUUUUUGCACACCCUAACAAACAGCCUGAAUAGUAUACAGGUAGGCCAGUCACCACACCCUAACAAACAGCCUGAAUAGUAUACAGGUAGGCCAGUCACCACACCCUAACAAACAGCCUGAAUAGUAUACAGGUAGGCCAGUCACCACACCCUAACAAACAGCCUGAAUAGUAUACAGGUAGGCCAGUCACCACACCCUAACAAACAGCCUGAAUAGUAUACAGGUAGGCCAGUCACCACACCCUAACAAACAGCCUGAAUAGUAUACAGGUAGGCCAGUCACCACACCCUAACAAACAGCCUGAAUAGUAUACAGGUAGGCCAGUCACCACACCCUAACAAACAGCCUGAAUAGUAUACAGGUAGGCCAGUCACCACACCCUAACAAACAGCCUGAAUAGUAUACAGGUAGGCCAGUCACCACUCCCUAACAAACAGCCUGAAUAGUAUACAGGUAGGCCAGUCACCACUCCCUAACAAACAGCCUGAAUAGUAUACAGGUAGGCCAGUCACCACACCCUAACAAACAGCCUGAAUAGUAUACAGGUAGGCC